AUGGAGGCCCAGAGGGAGGGAGAUCCUGGAGGGAGGGAGGCCCCAGGGUCAAUGUCCCAGAGGGAGGGAGGCCCCAGAGGGAGAAGGCCCCAGGGGGAGGGAGGCUCCAGAGAUACAGAGGCCCUGGGGCCAAUGUCCCAGAGGGAGGGAAGCCCGGAGGAAGGGACACCCUCCCCACCAGCGCCCGCAUCCACACCCAGCGCCACCCGGGCUACGCAGCCUGGAGGGCCGGCAAGCGGGGCGCCUGGGCAGAGGGUCCCACUGUCUGCGGGCGCUGCCUCUGAGCCCCGGGGUCAUGGAUGGUGCCCGCGGUGUUGUCAGCGUCAAGCGUCUGCUGAGCGUAGACCCUCCCCGCCGGCAGGUGGCUGUUCCUGGAAGGCAGGGUCCCAGGGUCCUCCGGGUCCCCGGCUGGGUCCUGCCCUCAAGGCAGUGGCCUUCAGAGGUGCACGUCCGUUGGCAGCCCCUCGCUGCGCCCCAGGGCUCUCGGCCUGCUCAUCUUCCCACGGAUGCUGCGUCCCGACCCCAAACGCAACGACGGCCACAACCAGACUGGGGACAGCUGUCCACACGGCUGCCUCCCGGGCGCCCCGCCCAACCCCAUUCACCCGUGGCUUCCCUCUGCCUCCCGCCCAUCCCCCGGGUCCACCAGCAGGUCCUGGCCGCCCUCCCUCUAGGCGCCCCCCGGAUCCACCCCCUCCGGGCGCCUCCCCCAAGCUCCAGGCCGGGCUGCAGCACCCCGCCGGGGCCCGGGCUUCGGCCCUGCCCCGCCCCCUUUCCCCGCCUGCCAUCCCUCAGCAGGGAGCACGUCACCGUGACCUCAAGGCCUCGAGCCUGACAGAGCUGUGGGGACAGACCCAGCGGGACGCACGGGCCCCUGCCAGCUCCUUGCACACGCUGGGCCUUCCGGUGGCUCCUUGGGCACCUGCCAGGGGCCGUGCCUCCCCCACGCGUCCCACCUACCAGGACACACCAAGCAGGGGUCGCCGGGGACAUCCUCCUCCUGCCUGCCGGCAUCUUCCCAGGGCAGUGAGGCCCACCCUGCCAAGCCGGUUCUCUCCCUGUCGCCCUGUCGCUCGCUCUGAAUCCCGCCCCAUCCCUCGCCUGUGCCCGGCCUCGGGGGCCAGCCCGCUGGCAUCUGCCUGCCGGGUGCUUCUCCUCCUCCGACGGCCGCUGCACCUGGACGUCCGGGGCCGUGGGACACACAUGAGACACCCCUGA
rnacentral:lncRNA from 1 species